GACGAACGCUGGCGGCGUGCUUAACACAUGCAAGUCGAACGGUGAAGCGCCUUCCUUGUGGGUUGGUGGGGAGGAGUGGGGAACGGGUGAGUAAGACGUGAGUAACCUGCCCCCUUGUUCUGGAUAACCGCAUGAAAGUGUGGAUAAUACGGGAUAUUCUGGUGCUGGCGCAUGAUGGGUCAGGGACAGAUAUUGGGUCGGGGGGGGAGGGGCUCGCGGCCUAUCGGGUUGUUGGUGGGGUGCUGGCCUACCAAGGCGGUGACGGGUGGCCGGGCUGAGAGGGUGGACGGCCACACUGGGACUGAGACACGGCCCAGACUCCUACGGGAGGCAGCAGUGGGGAAUAUUGCACAAUGGGCGGAAGCCUGAUGCAGCGACGCCGCGUGAGGGAUGGAGGCCUGCGGGUUGUGAACCUCUUUCGCCAGUGAAGCAGGCCUGCCUCGUUUGUGGGUGGGUUGACGGUAGCUGGAUAAGAAGCGCCGGCUAACUACGUG
rnacentral:rRNA from 1 species